GGUACUUUUUUCCAAUUCAUUCUUAAUAUGAUAUUACCUUCUUUCUUAGCUGCUUUGAGUUUUGCCAUCUCUGAUGCUAAACAUGCUUUACUUUUCAAUGUUUAGUAAACUCCAAAUUUUGUGUUUAAUUUUUAGUAUCUAGCUUCUGUUCUGCUUCUACUUCUGGGGGUCUCUACUAUUGGAGAACCAAGCUUGCUGGCCCAAAAUGGUCACCAUUUGCUUCAUGGAUAACUGGCUGGUAUAUUGAGAUGAUUUCUUUGGAGCAAUUCUUGACAACAUUUUUAGUUGAGGCCUUUAGAAUGGAAGAAUGUAUUUCACUAAUUUUUGUAUACAUUUCUUGUUUUGUAUUUAGUGAUAAAGGAAUCUGAAUUGGGCAUAAAUUAUGUUGUAAUAUGAUUUCUUAAGCAUAGACUAGUAGACUAAAUAUUGUAAUUACAUUUGAGUAAUUAAUAAAAAUCUAUUUAUGUUA